rnacentral:rRNA from 1 species
AUACGUAGGGGGCAAGCGUUAUCCGGAUUUACUGGGUGUAAAGGGAGCGUAGGUGGUUCGGUAAGUCAGAUGUGAAAGCCCGGGGCUCAACCCCGGGACUGCAUUUGAAACUAUCGAACUAGAGUGUAGGAGAGGUAAGUGGAAUUCCUAGUGUAGCGGUGAAGUGCGUAGAUAUUAGGAGGAACACCAGUGGCGAAGGCGACUUACUGGACUAUAACUGACACUGAGGCUCGAAAGCGUGGGGAGC